UACGGAGGGUGCGAGCGUUGUCCGGAAUCACUGGGCGUAAAGGGCGCGUAGGCGGCCUGGCAAGUCGGUGGUGAAAGCCCGUGGCUCAACUACGGGUCGGCCACCGAUACUGCUAUGGCUCGAGUUUGGUAGAGGCAGAUGGAAUUCCGGGUGUAGCGGUGGAAUGCGUAGAGAUCCGGAAGAACACCGGGUGGCGAAGGCGGUCUGCUGGGCAGUCGUGA
rnacentral:rRNA from 1 species